rnacentral:rRNA from 1 species
UACAGAGGUCUCAACCGUUGUUCGGAUUCAUUGGGCGUAAAGGGUGCGUAGGCGGUCGUGCAAGUCGGAUGUGAAAUCUCAGGGCUCAACCCUGAAACUGCAUUCGAUACUGCGUGGCUAGAGUGCUGGAGAGGAGACUGGAAUUUACGGUGUAGCGGUGAAAUGCGUAGAUAUCGUAAGGAAGACCAGUGGCGAAGGCGGGUCUCUGGACAGUUCCUGACGCUGAGGCACGAAGGCCAGGGGAGCAAACGGG